rnacentral:rRNA from 1 species
GAUGAGCGCUGGUGGCGUGCCUAACACAUGCAAGUCGAGCGAUUCUCUUCGGAGAAGAGCGGCGGACGGGUGAGUAACGCGUGGGUAACCUGCCCUGUACACACGGAUAACAUACCGAAAGGUAUGCUAAUACGAGAUAACAUGCUUUUAUCGCAUGGUAGAAGUAUCAAAGCUUUUGCGGUACAGGAUGGACCCGCGUCUGAUUAGCUAGUUGGUGAGGUAACGGCUCACCAAGGCGACGAUCAGUAGCCGACCUGAGAGGGUGAUCGGCCACAUUGGAACUGAGACACGGUCCAAACUCCUACGGGAGGCAGCAGUGGGGAAUAUUGCACAAUGGGCGAAAGCCUGAUGCAGCAACGCCGCGUGAGCGAUGAAGGCCUUCGGGUCGUAAAGCUCUGUCCUCAAGGAAGAUAAUGACGGUACUUGAGGAGGAAGCCCCGGCUAACUACGUG